rnacentral:rRNA from 1 species
GAUUGGCUCAGGAUGAACGCUGGCGGCGUGCUUAACACAUGCAAGUCGAACGAAGCACUUUAUUUGAUUUCCUUCGGGACUGAUUAUUUUGUGACUGAGUGGCGGACGGGUGAGUAACGCGUGGGUAACCUGCCUUGUACAGGGGGAUAACAGUUGGAAACGGCUGCUAAUACCGCAUAAGCGCACGGCAUCGCAUGAUGCAGUGUGAAAAACUCCGGUGGUAUAAGAUGGACCCGCGUUGG